rnacentral:rRNA from 1 species
UCAAACUGGAGAUGGCGACCGGCGCACGGGUGAGUAACACGUAUCCAACCUGCCGAUAACUCGGGGAUAGCCUUUCGAAAGGAAGAUUAAUACCCGAUGGUAUAAUAAAACCGCAUGGUUUAAUUAUUAAAGAAUUUCGGUUAUCGAUGGGGAUGCGUUCCAUUAGGCAGUUGGUGAGGUAACGGCUCACCAAACCUUCGAUGGAUAGGGGUUCUGAGAGGAAGGUCCCCCACAUUGGAACUGAGACACGGUCCAA